rnacentral:rRNA from 1 species
UACGUAGGGUGCGAGCGUUGUCCGGAAUUAUUGGGCGUAAAGAGCUCGUAGGCGGUCUGUCGCGUCGGCUGUGAAAUCCCGAGGCUCAACCUCGGGUCUGCAGUCGAUACGGGCAAACUAGAGUAUUGCAGGGGAGACUGGAAUUCCUGGUGUAGCGGUGAAAUGCGCAGAUAUCAGGAAGAACACCCGUGGCGAAGGCGGCUCUCUGGGACGGUACUGACGCUGAGACGCGAAAGCGUGGGGAGCGAACAGG